ACAUUUUAUAAUAACUUGUAUUAAUUGUCUUUCCAUGGUGUCAGUGUCAGCAGAGGGGACCGUUCCAAAGGGAAGACAUAGCCCUGAUGCAGAUCGUCCAAACAUGCCUGUGAGAAGGAUGGUGCUGGUGGGGAGGUGUGGAGCUGGAAAAAGCUUCUCAGGAAACACCAUUCUAGGCCACAAUGUCAUGCUGGCCAAAACACAGGACAGACACUUGCAGAUAUUUAUUAAUGGGGCUAAGCUAAGAGAACAUGAGGAACAGGCAAAGUUGGUAACAAAAGGGCAGUGUAAACAAACAACAUACCAAAAGGCAUAGGGAAUCAGUCCAGGCUCAUACACAGCAAAUUCAAUUACAUACGUAUGGAAAAUAGGUGAGUUGAUAAUCAAUAAUAAGGCAGGCAAUACAAGAGACAAGGAAAAGGUGUAUUCAAAAACAAAAUGGAUCAGUUACGGUAGGCAAAACAAAAAAGGUGUUGUAUAAAAACUAGAAAACUAGGUGCAACACUCAGAAGGGACAGUAAGGAAGUGAGUGGAAUAUAUACAAAGUUAAACAGGUGUGUGCAAUUAGAAGCUGGGUGAGCGGGAACGCUGUUGUAUUCAGUAAGGGAGUUCCAUUUAUUUGGGAGCCAUUAUUAUUAAGGGAAAAAAACUAUCCAAACCAAUCUAGUCCUAACUCUCCCCCCAUUAAUUAAUUGUGAUGAUCUACAUUUUUUCUCUAUCAGUCUAGAAACAAGUUACAAUGUCAUUUCUAAAGCUUUGGAAAACAUGGAACACUGGUGAACCUUUCAUGGACAACCCAUCCAGGAGGUCACAAAAGAACCCAGAACAUAUUUGAAGAACUGCAGGUCUCACUUGCCUCAGUUAUGGUCAGUGUUAAUGAUUCAAUAAUAAGAAAGAGACUGAUCGAAAAUUCCAAGGCAAAAAGAACUGCUGGACAAAAGAAAACACAACGGCCCAUCUCAUAUUUACCUAAAUCAUCUUGAUGAUGCCCAGGACCUUGGAUAAAUAUUCUUUGAACUGACGAGACAAAAGUGAAACGUUUUGGAAGGUGUGGGUCCUGUUACAUCUGGCAUAAAACUAACACAUAACUUCUAAAAAAGAACAUCACACUGAACAUAAAAGAUGGUGGUGGUAGUGUGACGGUCUGGGGCUGCUUUGCUUCAGGAUCUGGAAAACUUG
rnacentral:lncRNA from 1 species